UAGGGAAUCUUCACAAUGGGCGCAAGCCUGAUGGAGCAACACCGCGUGAGUGAAGAAGGGUUUCGGCUCGUAAAGCUCUGUUGUUAAAGAAGAACGUGGGUAAGAGUAACUGUUUACCCAGUGACGGUAUUUAACCAGAAAGCCACGGCUAACUACGUGCCAG
rnacentral:rRNA from 1 species